GACGUAGGGCGCGAGCGUUGUCCGGAUUUAUUGGGCGUAAAGAGCUCGUAGGCGGUUCGUCGCGUCGGCUGUGAAAUCCCGGAGCUCAACUCCGGGUCUGCAGUCGAUACGGGCGGACUUGAGUACUGCAGGGGAGACUGGAAUUCCUGGUGUAGCGGUGAAAUGCGUAGAUAUCAGGAGGAACACCGAUGGCGAAGGCAGAUCUCUGGGCCGUAACUGACGCUGAGGAGCGAAAGCAUGGGGAGCGAACAGG
rnacentral:rRNA from 1 species